GGACACAUGACAUGUCAUGAUUCCUUUUUAUUCCAGAAGUUUGGUCCUUAAGGGGUUAAGGAUUUGAGAAAAACUAAAUAUUUUAAAGUAAGACACAUUCCGAAAAAAACAACUAGAGAUCGUUGGAUAAGCCUUUUAUUAAAAUAGAGCAUAUUACAACAAAGUGAAAAUCCUACUGUGACAAUUUAAGGCAAUCUUAAUAAACUAAAAUAGUAAAUAUUAGUAAAAUGACAAUACCCUCCCAGAACCGAUACCAGUAUUAGGGGAAAUCCUUUAUUAGAUGCUAGGGUAGAUGGUUAGGGUAUGUCUACUAAAUCUCUCCUGUAGGGUAAAUCUAUAUCGCCAGGAAUACGAUAACCAGGACUAAGUAUGUAAUAUGGAAUGCCAACUGCAGAUCGGUAAAAUGAUGGAGCCAAAUAGCCACCUCUGUCAGCUAAGUGACAAUCUGCUGAUCAUGUGAUUGACUUCAAUGUUACAAAAAUUGUAUCACAGUAAAUAUCACAGAAUGUGCCGUGUUAGUAAGCCAGAGACUGAGAAGGAAAGAAUGUGGCAAAGAAUUCAGAGUACUCUGUGCCAAAGGGCGUUUUUUUCAACGCUUUAUUUUUUCACUUUAAUUUGGUGUUAUGAUUUGGGCGGUUUAAUCUACUU